ACAUCUAAGUAAGGGCGCAUGGAGGAUGCCUUGGCUCUUGGAGGCGAAGAAGGACGUGAUAAGCUGCGAUAAGCUAGGGGGAGUGGCAAAUACACGAUAUAUCCCUAGAUUUCCGAAUGGGACAACCCAAUAUGUUGAAGACAUAUUAUCCAUCGAUAAGAUGAGAAGCAAACCCACUGAACUGAAACAUCUAAGUAAGUGGAGGAGGAGAAAAUAACAAUGAUUCCGUAAGUAGUGGCGAGCGAACGCGGAACAGCCCAAACCAGUCUUGUUACGGCAACACUGGGGUUGUAGGACUACAAUAUGGACUUAUAAAUUAUAGUGGAAUAGGUUUGGAAAGGCCGACCAUAGGGGGUGAUAGUCCCGUACACGACAUGAUUUAUAUACCUAGUAGUAUCCUGAGUACUGCGGGGUCGGAGACGCCCUGUAGGAAUUUGCCGGCACCAUCCGGUAAGGCUAAAUACUCCCAAGAGACCGAUAGUGAACUAGUACUGUGAAGGAAAGGUGAAAAGAACCGCGAAUAGCGGAGUGAAAUAGAACCUGAAACCAUGCGCUUACAAGCGGUCGGAGCCCUUAAGUGGGGUGACGGCGUGCCUUUUGUAUAAUGAGCCUACGAGUUACACUUCAUUGGCAAGGUUAAGGGCUUAAGGUCCGUUAACCGCAGCGAAAGCGAGUCUGAAUAGGGCGUAAAGUCAGUGGAGGUAGACGCGAAACCUUGUGAUCUACCCAUGGCCAGGAUGAAGCUCCGAUAACACGGAGUGGAGGUCCGAACCGAUAAGCGUUGAAAAGCUUCCGGAUGAGCUGUGGGUAGGGGUGAAAGGCUAAUCAAACUGGGAAAUAGCUCGUACUCCCCGAAAUGCCUUUAGGGGCAGCGUGGUGGUAAAGUUUUAUAGAGGUAGAGCUACUGAUUGGAUGCGGGGGAAGCGAUUCCUACCAAGUCCUGACAAACUCCGAAUGCUAUAAAAUAUACACUGCAGUGAGCCAUUGGGUGCUAAGGUCCAAUGACGAAAGAGAGAGAACUCAGACCAACAGCUAAGGUCCCCAAAUCUAUUCUAAGUUGAUAUAACGUGGUGCGACUGCAUUGACAGCCAGGAUGUUUGCUUGGAAGCAGCCAUUCAUUUAAAGAGUGCGUAACAGCUCACUGGUCGAGCGGUCGUGCGUGGACGAUACUCGGGCAUCAAGAAUAGUACCGAAGCUUUGGACUCAUAUUUAUAUGAGUGGUAGGGGAGCAUUCUAACUGCGUAGAAGAAGUUGCGUGAGCGCUAUUGGAGCGGUUAGAAAAGCAAAUGUAGGCAUAAGUAACGAUAAAACAGGCGAGAAACCUGUUCGCCGAUAGACUAAGGUUUCCUGAACAACGAUAAUCGGUUCAGGGUCAGUCGGGACCUAAGGCGAAGCCGAAGGGCGUAGUCGAUGGACAACUGGUUAAUAUUCCAGUACUUGUAUUACUGCGAUGGAGAGACGAAGGCGCGUAAGGUUAGCGAACUGACGGAAUAGUUCGUUUAAGUGCGUAGGUUUAGGGUAUGUAGGCAAAUCCGCAUAUCUUCUGAAACACGAAAGUAGCCAGAGUCGUCAGACAAAGGCAUUAACCCCAAGCAUACUUCCAAGAAAAUCUUCUAAGCUUCAGGUAAAUACAACCCGUACCGCAAACCGACACAGGUAGUCAAGUAGAAUAUACUAAGGCGCUCGAGUGAUCCGCGGCUAAGGAACUAGGCAAAUUAACCCUGUAACUUCGGGAAAAAGGGUGCCACCAGCAAUGGUGGCCGCAGAGAAAUGGCGGUGGCGACUGUUUAACAAAAACACAGGGCUUUGCAAAACUGAAAGGUGAAGUAUAAGGCCUGACACCUGCCCGGUGCCGGAAGGUUAAGAGGAGAGGUUAGCGCAAGCGAAGCUUUGAAUUGAAGCCCCGGUAAACGGCGGCCGUAACUAUAACGGUCCUAAGGUAGCGAAAUUCCUUGUCGGGUAAGUUCCGACCUGCACGAAUGGUGUAACGAUCUCCGCACUGUCUCAGCCGCGAGCUCGGUGAAAUUGUGGUAUCAGUGAAGACGCUGAUUACCCGCAACGGGACGGAAAGACCCCAUGCACCUUUACUAUAGUUUAACAUUGAUUUCGGGUAAGUGAUGUGUAGGAUAGGUGGGAGACUGUGAAGCAGGCACGCUAGUGUUUGUGGAGUCAACGUUGAAAUACCACCCUUUACUUACUUGGAGUCUAACUCCCGCAGGGAGGACAUUGUUUGAUGGGUAGUUUGACUGGGGUGGUCGCCUCCGAAAGGGUAUCGGAGGCUUUCAAAGGUUCCCUCAGUACGCUUGGUAACCGUACGUAGAGCGCAAUAGCAUAAGGGAGCUUGACUGUGAGGCCGACAAGCCGAGCAGGUACGAAAGUAGGAUAUAGUGAUCCGGUGGUUCCGCAUGGAAGGGCCAUCGCUCAUAGGAUAAAAGGUACGCUGGGAUAACAGGCUGAUCCUUCCCAAGAGCUCAUAUCGACGGGAGGGUUUGGCACCUCGAUGUCGGCUCGUCACAUCCUGGGGCUGGAGAAGGUCCCAAGGGUUCGGCUGUUCGCCGAUUAAAGUGGCACGCGAGCUGGGUUCAGAACGUCGUGAGACAGUUCGGUCCCUAU
rnacentral:rRNA from 1 species